GGCACCGUCUACCCAAGCUACCUCGUAUCGACGUGCACGCACACUCGCGUGCACGUGUUGCGGCCAGGACCGGCGUGAUAUAACUCGUCACCCUGUAGAAUUUGAAGAAUCUUAUUUUUUUUCCUAAUUCACUGGAUACCUAUUAUGGAUUAUUUUAUAUCUUAGAUAUUAUCUAAAAGAUAAGAAUACUAAUUAGAUAAGUCUUGCCAAAGAUCUUGAGAUCUGGAAAAUAGAAAAGUAGGUCGAGUUUGAAACUCGAAACAUGAAUGAAAAAUUUUAGGUGAAGAUAAAGUACGGCUCCUUUCUAAUCAGAUUUUUACAGGUUUCAGAAUUAAAUGAAUAAUUUGUUAUAACUUCAUCCAUAUCUUAGAAUUGAUAUAAAAUUUAAAAAUUUUCAAUCUUCUUAGGAUUUUUGAAGAUAAGUAAAAUUCCCAUAUAGCUUUCUAUCCACCAUUUUCGGGAAUCUUCAGUUCUUCAACCUUGAAUUAUGCAGAAUAAUACAAAAGUAGUGUAACUGAAAAUGUAAAACUUCUUUGAGGAAAAGCUAAAAAUAAAAUACGAUAUAAUUCCUAAUGAGUUUUUAGAGCUUACAUUUAGAAAUCCGUUAUUUUCCAAACAGUUUAUUUAUAUCACUAUACUAGUAUAUAAGUACAAGCAAGAUGUUCAAGCAGAUUUCUUUGAUAACUGCGUUCCUGAAAAGAUUACGUCCCUGAACUCUGUCAUACUGUACGUGAAGCCUCACCUCGGAUCGGGCAACCUAUCAGGCGGCUCUCGGGCGUGGGUUGGCAUUCCAUUCAUUUGGGCUGCUGUCGUUGAAGAUUUUCACGUUCGAUCACGCGGACGGCGCAGGGCCACUUUAUCGCGACCCCUAGAGAAUCGUCGCCUGGAGAAAGAAUGAGUAGACAGAAAUGGAGAUAAAGAGAAAGGGAGACAGAGGACGAAAAGGGCCUCUCUGGUUGGUGUCGGUGGCCUUCGACGAGCCACGAGACGAAUUUCGAUUCGAUUGCGUGGGAGCGUGAUAAGGCUACCGGAGGAGGAAACCGAUUAUCGGGUUCACAGUGCCUCACCAGAUGUAACGUCGAACGUGUGUACACGUGCACAAACGCACCAACACCGAGGUGGACGCAAGUGUACGCACCGGAAGCAAUACUCCCUGGCACUUGGUCGGGCAUUAGUGCAUGCACUGGCUGAUGUGUAUAUGUGAACACAAAUAAGCUUGUACACUUCACCGCGUGGGCGUGUGCGUGUGAUUACCACGAAAAGCGGCCCUAGGUUGACAGGAAAUGGUUUGAGAUAAGAUAAUGACGUCCCUCGCCUCUCCUGCAUCCGGCUGCUUUCUUCGUCGCUUCGGCGUUGGAAAAUGUUCCCUUGCCGCAGCCGGGACAGGUACCGAUUCAAUUUUCAAUCAAAUAAGUCUACAAAAAUUUUUUUACGUAACCACCAUGAUAAAAUAGAAAAAUUAGAGACGAAUUGUAUAAUAAUUACGGUAGAACCUGGAAUCCUUAGAAACUUUCUGACGUAAAAAACAUAGCAGUGAAGAUUUUUUCGAUCUUAUGAUCUAUUGUCUAAAACAAGAUUUUCAAUAUAAGCUCCAAAAUAAAGUGAACAAAAUGGUGGAUGGAGUGUAAUCAAAAUGGAACCUCGGGCGCACGAAAAUAGCCAUCCGACUCUUUGCGAGGAUUUUUCAAAAUAUACAAGAGGAAUAGCAGUGUAAACGAACCAGGCCUCCACUAUGAAUAAUCGCAUCCUGUCUCAGUAACUAAGCAAAAAAGAAAAGAAGGCUUAAACAUAUAUAAACAUCUGAGGUCGGCAUUUUAUAAUAGUAAUAACGAUAAUAUCUCCAAGUCCAACUUAUUUAAUGUUUGCUGUAAUUAGAUAUGCAAACAUUGAUCGAUGGUAUUGUGUCAACGAUCACGUUUCAUGGAUCAUCAAUGCAUAUUUAUAGGUUAGAGACGUAGAUGGUUUCCCGCGCUUUCCAUUCUAAGGGAAAUUGGUAGACGGGAGACCAAUUCUCUGAAUGACUCUCGAAACUGGUGCGCCCACAUUCCUCCAGCCACACGAGAUUCGAGGUUCUGGCAUGUUCACUAGCCUGUAAAACUGCUUGCGGGAUCUUCGUUCCCCCCUCUUUAUGCCUACGGAUCGAACAAACGACAUACAGUUAGCAAAAGGUAUCAUAAACGUAUCGAUGCAUGUAUAUAGGUACGUACAAUGAUUAGUACUUAGACAUAAUUAAUCACCAUAUAAGUGCUACAAUAAAUAGAAUAGUGUACAAAUACUUUGUUGAUUAUAUUGAUUAUUAAAAAAAAGGAAACAAUUAUAUCGGUUAGGGUACAUCUCACAUAUAACAUUCGCUUUACUUUAGUUCCCGAAAUAUUCGUAAAAAUAUUUUUGAUACUUCUUUUUAUUUUGGUAUAGAUCAUAUUUGGAUUAGGAUUGAGUUAGAUUUAUACACUAUAGUAACCGUAAACACUUUUUGUAGCCACUGUAUGUAUUUUUCACAUAUAGAUCAAUCAACACCAAAAAUAAAUUAUACCUGUCGAAU